rnacentral:rRNA from 1 species
GUGAGGAAUAUUGGGCAAUGGGCGAAAGCCUGACCCAGCCACGCCGCGUGAGUGAUGAAGGCCUUCGGGUUGUAAAGCUCUGUGGGGAGGGAAGAAAAGGCGGGAGAGUAACUGCUCUCGUGUUGACGGUACCUCCUUAGCAAGCACCGGCUAACUCUGUGCCAGCAGCCGCGGUAAUACAGAGGGUGCAAACGUUGCUCGGAAUUACUGGGCGUAAAGCGCGUGUAGGCUGACAUGCAAGUCGAGUGUGAAAUCCCAUAGCUCAACCUUGGAACUGCACUGCAAACUGGACGUCUUGAGUGCUGGAGAGGGAAGCGGAAUUCCGGGUGUAGAGGUGAAAUUCGUAGAUAUCCGGAGGAACACCAGUGGCGAAGGCGGCUUCCUGGACAGUAACUGACGCUGAGACGCGAAAGCGUGGGGAGCAAACAGGAUUAGAAACCCGGGUAGUCC